rnacentral:lncRNA from 1 species
GCGAAUGCGAACCUGGCCCGUGCGGAAAGGGCGCGGAGAGCCCCGGCGCGGAGCAGGCGGGGGACGGUAUUCAGAAUUCGAGCGCAGGAGCUCCGCUUCUCCACCUGCUCCCGGGGAGCUAUUGGGAUCCAGAGAAUCACCCGCUGAUGGUUUUUGCCCAGGCCUGAAACAACCAGAGAGCUACGGGAAAGGAAGGGCUUGGCUUGCCAGAGGAAUUUUCCAAGUGCUCAAACGCCAGGCUUACGGCGCCUGUGAUCCGUCCAGGAGGACAAAGUGGGAUUUGAAGAUCCACUCCACUUCUGCUCAUGGCGGGCCAGGGCCUGCCCCUGCACGUGGCCACACUGCUGACUGGGCUGCUGGAAUGCCUGGGCUUUGCUGGCGUCCUCUUUGGCUGGCCUUCACUAGUGUUUGUCUUCAAGAAUGAAGAUUACUUUAAGGAUCUGUGUGGACCAGAUGCUGGGCCGAUUGGCAAUGCCACAGGGCAGGCUGAUUUUUCUACACCACCGCCACACUCAUCAUAGCCUUCACCUCUGCAGGCUCAGCCGUGCUGCUCU